rnacentral:lncRNA from 1 species
CCUUGUCACAUGAGCUUUCUUCCUUGCCUUCUUCAUCCUCCAUCUUCAUCCUAAUCUAGAUAAUAAACAAGAAUGGAAACUAACACUAGGAAGAUGAAAGAGCUACAUUUCUGCAGACUUCAAGCUUCUCCCGUAGCUCACUCUCUUACUCUGCUAUGAACUCCCUUGCUUUUGCUCUCUACUCCCUUCUUUCUUUUGCAAUGAAUUUGGCUCUUUUAUGAUGAAAGGUGGUCAAGAAAUGAGGAUUACAUCUCCUUUUACAGCUGGGAAUGUUUCUCACAUGUAUAGCAUCCCAUGUGAGUUGGUGGAGGUGAAAUUGAGUUUUCCGCGUAAAAAGCAGACUUCUCUGACCACAAUCCGGCCAGGAAUCCGGCCACAAAUCCGGCCAAAUUCCGGCCGGAUUGCUACAGUAAAUCUGGGCUGCUACAGUGAUCCGAGCUGCUACAGUGCCUCGGAUCCGUAUGGAUCCGAGCUCGGAUCCACUAACCCAGAAACAGCCGAGGGUUCGGAUGAAUAGUGGAUCCGAGUGUGGAUCACUUGCUCUGUUUUUGGCUCAACUUCAACCGAUCUUUUCUUGAUGUUAGAGGCUGAACCAGCUCAUGUCUAAAACACGAAAGUUGUAGCCUUUUGACUUAUCUUUCCAAUGCAUCAAGAAUCACCUCAUUUGGAUCUGUGUAGGCUGAGAUAUGACGAAAUACCCUUGCCUGCUCCAUGCCUUGUUCCAGUUUCGACCAAUAGCAAUUGACUCUGUACUUCGGCUUUUUGACCUGGAAAACCUUCAAACUGGAUUCAGAUGUCUUCACCAAAGUUGUAGAUCUAUCUCUUAUCUUCAAAUGGGUUCAAGAAUCAUCCCAAUCCGAUCAUUGUAGCUCAAGUUAUAGCCGAAAUACGAAAAUGUGUCAAAACUGUCAAAAUACACAAAAUC